CACCAUUAAACACUACAGAGGCUGAGAUUUCAGCGUUGUUGGUUAGUCGUUUGAAAAAUAGUCGAUUAAAAUGAAAGUUCACUCAAAUGUGCAUUUUUGCAGUUUGUUAAUCAUAUAUUAGUUCGGUUUUGAUACACAGGAACUAUUUGCAGACCGUGUAUUUUCAAAGUGGCACAUGGGUACAUCCUCACCCCAACACCCUGAGAAACAAUACCUUUCUGUACUGUAUUUUUCUCACUGUAGUUUUUAAAUAUUAUUAAAAAAGCAAGGAAAAUAAUCUCAAAGACAAAGCGAGAUCAUGAGUCAGUCAGAAGGGAGCAGCACUCCUCCAUCAGGAGGUGAGGAAAGUGAGAGUCAUGUUCAGCCACAGAAUACCAGCUAUGCGUCAGAUGCCGAGGACGAUUUACAGGAAGUUUAUACAACCAGCUCCGUUACAACCAGUGAGGGCCUACAGUGCCUGGAGGAGGUAAAGAUCUUUUCCAGUCGCAUCUAACACUGGACAUGGGAUACGCCCACUUUGUUAAUACUAAUGAAAUAAUAGUAAUUAUAUACACUGAAUAUUACAUUUAUGUCCAGAUUUUUUGCAACUUGGCUUUUUCAAUAAUGUUCGUUGUUAAAAAUGCUGUAUAAAUGGAACAUCUAAUUAAACAGAUUAACAUUCCGCAUACCAAAUUUCUGUUCAAUGGGACAUACAGUUCCUGAGAAGACUUUAUCAGAACCUCACCUAUAGAGCCGGUAUACAGUGUGGCCAUGCUGUUUUCAUCUUUCUCAGGCCUGUAAUCAAUAAUGAGCCACAGCUGUUUGAGUAAAUUAGUUUCCACCACUAUAGAAUUUAUUGCCAUGUGGCUUUUGUUUACAAAAUCUGCUUUGAUAGUAGCUGAAGUUCACAACGAAGUUUUAAACACAGACCAAAUAUUUUCUAGUUUGCAAAUAUAGGUUUUCAUAUCAUGCAAAUAUGCAAACCAUGUGGUAUGACUUUUGGUUUCCGUGAUACACAGGCUAAAAUCUGUAUUAUUCAACACGGUGCAUAUGGUAAAUGCUGACACACUAUAUGCCCAGAAGUAUGUGGACACCCAAAUGCAACCGCAACUUUCCUGAACUGCAUCCACAAAUUUGGAAUUGUAUAGAAUCUUGUAGCUGAACGAUCACAAAUUCACAGCCACAUCGCAACUCCUAGCAGAAAGCAUUCCCUGAAAAGUGGAGCUUAUUAUACCAGCACAUGAGACUUCAUCAGGACAAUCAUUUAUGAAUGUGAUGGACAGGUGUCCGCAUACUUUUGACUGUACAGAUGGGGAAGGAGGUUUAAUUGCUCCACCCCUCUGUCUACAUGGAAAGUAAUAAAAUAAAAUCAGUGAAUUUUAACACAUUAAAUGUACAUUUAAAGAUAUUGUUCCAAAUUUGAACUGAAUGAGGGACGUCUUUAUUGGCUCUAAUGCCAGUCAGAGUGAAGAGAGAAACAUGUGGGUGUCUGUGAGCUCUUUAAUGAAACGCAUUCAGCUACUUUGUGAAAUAUGACAAGCAGCUGUUAGAUAAAAUGUUGUGGCUGGUUUUUAUGUAUCUCAGAGGAAACAUAUGAUGAUGUGUAUUUGCGGUCAUUUUGUUUCCCCGUUGUGUCGCAGUGUACAAACAGCUGCAGGUUGCAAAAUCGUGAUAUCUGUUUUUCUGUUUUAUUUCUUUUGAAAAACAAAGGAAACAAACAUUCGAUUAUAAUUUGAAAUAAACAUUUUUAGUUUUUACAUAUCUUUUUUUAUGUAUUUAAAAUAAUCAGUUUUUGUUUCUGUUAGCUGUUGUUUUUAUGAUUGUAUAUUUAUUGAAGCAUAUAGAGUUUGUACAAAAGACUUUAAAAAAUUCUUAUGUAAAUGAUCCCUUUUAUGACUAUUUUAUGCUUUAUGCAUUAGUGCAUUAUUAGAAAAGAAAAAGUACCUAUUGUUAUUAUUAUUUAAUGUGACAUAGAGGUGUAAUAUUGGACUGAUAUGUAAUAGAACAUGUAUCUGCUAAAUUGAAAAUAGCAUCAAGACAUGUUACACCUACAGUGAUACAAGGUUCUGUUAGGGUGAUAUUUAUUAACCUGCAUUACAAGACACCUAGAUGGCAGUAUUAUACAGAGGACUUAAAUGGAUUUUGUAACAUUUGAGCAUCUCUUUUCUUUAAAAAAAAUAUAUAUUAUCCUGAAUUUGGGUUUGAAACAUAACAUAUUUCAUGAUCUGACUGUAGUAAUGCUCAGAAUAGCUUAUG